rnacentral:rRNA from 1 species
GUAGGUGGCAAGCGUUGUCCGGGAAUUAUUGGGCGUAAAGCGCGCGCAGGCGGUUCUUUAAGGUCUGGAUGUGAAAGCCCACGGCUCAACCGUGGAGGGUCAUUGGAAACUGGAGAACUUGAGUACAGAAGAGGAAAGCGGAAUUCCACGUGUAGCGGUGAAAUGCGUAGAGAUGUGGAGGAACACCAGUGGCGAAGGCGGCUUUCUGGUCUGUAACUGACGCUGAGGCGCGAAAGCGUGGGGAGCAAACAGGAUUAGAUACCCUGGUAGUCCACGCCCGUAAACGAUGAGUGCUAAGUGUUAGGGGGUUUCCGCCCCCUUAGUGCUGCAGCUAACGCAUUAAGCACUCCGCCUGGGGAGUACGGCCGCAAAGGCUG